UCGAGACUAGAUGGUCAGUAUGGAUAACUAAGGUGCACUAAAAUUGGGGGAGCAGGCAAGGCAUGUCGCCCCAGUUGUGUGACAAUUACUUUAUAUAUAUCUAUAUAUAUAGUCCAUCCACCAUCCCUCCUUUACGGAGAACUGCGUUAUUUUUAUUGUCCAUUGCGAAAAAAAAAAAGAAGAAAUAUCUAUAUAUAUAUAUACACAUAUAUAUAUAUGGGUGUAUCGAGACUAGAUGGUCAGGUUGGAUAACUAAGGUGCACUAAACUUGGGGGAGCAGGCACGGCAUGUCACCCCAGGUGUGUGAAAAUUAUUUGAUAUAUAUAUGUAUAUAUAUAUAUUCCAUCCACCAUCCCUCCUUCACGGAGAACUGCGUUAUUUUUAUUGUCCAUUGCGAAAAAAAACACAAAAAAGAAAAAAUAUCUAUAUAUAUAUAUACACAUAUGUAUAUGGGUGUAUCGAGACUAGAUGGUCAGGUUGGAUAACUAAGGUGCACUAAACUUGGGGGAGCAGGCAUGGCAUGUCACCCCAGGUGUGUGAAAAUUAUUUUAUAUAUAUGUAUAUAUAUAUUCCAUCCACCAUCCCUCCUUCACGGAGAACUGCGUUAUUUUUAUUGUCCAUUGCGAAAAAAAACACAAAAAAGAAAAAAUAUCUAUAUAUAUAUAUACACAUAUGUAUAUGGGUGUAUCGAGACUAGAUGGUCAGGUUGGAUAACUAAGGUGCACUAAAAUUGGGGGAGCAGGCAAGGCAUGUCACCCCAGGUGUGUGACAAUUAUUUUAUAUAUAUGUAUAUAUAUAUUCCAUCCACCAUCCCUCCUUCACGGAGAACUGCGUUAUUUUUAUUGUCCAUUGCGAAAAAAAACACAAAAAAGAAAAAAUAUCUAUAUAUAUAUACACAUAUGUAUAUGGGUGUAUCGAGACUAGAUGGUCAGGUUGGAUAACUAAGGUGCACUAAAAUUGGGGGAGCAGGCAAGGCAUGUCACCCCAGGUGUGUGACAAUUAUUUUAUAUAUAUGUAUAUAUAUAUUCCAUCCACCAUCCCUCCUUCACGGAGAACUGCGUUAUUUUUAUUGUCCAUUGCGAAAAAAAACACAAAAAAAGAAGAAAUAUCUAUAUAUAUAUAUAUAUAUAUAUAUAUACACAUAUAUAUAUGGGUGUAUCGAGACUAGAUGGUCAGGUUGGAUAACUAAGGUGCACUAAAAUUGGGGGAGCAGGCAAGGCAUGUCACCCCAGGUGUGUGACAAUUAUUUUAUAUAUAUGUAUAUAUAUAUUCCAUCCACCAUCCCUCCUUCACGGAGAACUGCGUUAUUUUUAUUGUCCAUUGCGAAAAAAAACACAAAAAAAGAAGAAAUAUCUAUAUAUAUAUAUAUAUAUAUAUAUAUAUAUAUAUACACAUAUAUAUAUGGGUGUAUCGAGACUAGAUGGUCAGGUUGGAUAACUAAUGUGCACUAAACUUCGGGGAUCAGGCACGGCAUGUCACCCCAGGUGUGUGAAAAUUAUUUUAUAUAUAUAUGUAUAUAUAUAUAUAUUCCAUCCACCAUCCCUCCUUCACGGAGAACUGCGCUAUUUUUAUUGUCCAUUGCGAAAAAAAACACAAAAAAGAAGAAAUAUGUAUAUAUAUAUAUAUAUACACAUAUAUAUAUGGGUGUAUCGAGACUAGAUGGUCAGGUUGGAUAACUAAGGUGCACUAAAAUUGGGGGAGCAGGCAAGGCAUGUCACCCCAGGUGUGUGACAAUUACUUUAUAUAUAUGUAUAUAUAUAGUCCAUCCACCAUCCCUCCUUUACGGAGAACUGCGUUAUUUUUAUUGUCCAUUGCGAAAAAAAAAACACAAAAAAAGAAGAAAUAUGUAUAUAUAUAUAUAUAUACACAUAUAUAUAUGGGUGUAUCGAGACUAGAUGGUCAGGUUGGAUAACUAAGGUGCACUAAAAUUGGGGGAGCAGGCAAGGCAUGUCACCCCAGGUGAGUGACAAUUAUUUUAUAUAUAUGUAUAUAUAUAUUCCAUCCACCAUCCCUCCUUCACGGAGAACUGCGUUAUUUUUAUUGUCCAUUGCGAAAAAAAACACAAAAAAGAAGAAAUAUCUAUAUAUAUAUAUAUAUAUAUAUAUAUAUAUAUAUAUAUAUAUAUAUAUAUAUAUAUAUAUAUAUACAUAUAUAUAUGGGUGUAUCGAGACUAGAUGGUCAGGUUGGAUAACUAAGGUGCACUAAACUUGGGGGAGCAGGCAUGGCAUGUCACCCCAGGUGUGUGACAAUUAUUUUAUAUAUAUGUAUAUAUAUAUUCCAUCCACCAUCCCUCCUUCACGGAGAACUGCGUUAUUUUUAUUGUCCAUUGCGAAAAAAAAACACAAAAAACGAAGAAAUAUCUAUAUAUAUAUAUAUAUACAUAUAUACACAUAUAUAUAUGGGUGUAUCGAGACUAGAUGGUCAGUAUGGAUAACUAAGGUGCACUAAAAUUGGGGGAGCAGGCAAGGCAUGUCACCCCAGGUGUGUGACAAAUAUUUUAUAUAUAUGUAUAUAUAUUCCCUCCACCGCCCCUCCUUUAAGGAGGACUGCUUAAUUUUAAAUGUCCAUUGCGAAAAAAAAAAAAGAAGAAAUAUCUAUAUAUAUAUAUAUACAUAUAUAUAUAUGGGUGUAUCGAGACUAGAUGGUCAGGUUGGAUAACUAAGGUGCACUAAACUUGGGGGAGCAGGCACGGCAUGUCACCCCAGGUGUGUGAAAAUUAUUUGAUAUAUAUAUGUAUAUAUAUAUAUUCCAUCCACCAUCCCUCCUUCACGGAGAACUGCGUUAUUUUUAUUGUCCAUUGCGAAAAAAAAACACAAAAAAAGAAGAAAUAUCUAUAUAUAUAUAUAUAUAUAUAUAUAUAUAUAUAUAUACACAUAUAUAUAUGGGUGUAUCGAGACUAGAUGGUCAGUAUGGAUAACUAAGGUGCACUAAAAUUGGGGGAGCAGGCAAGGCAUGUCGCCCCAGUUGUGUGACAAUUACUUUAUAUAUAUCUAUAUAUAUAGUCCAUCCACCAUCCCUCCUUUACGGAGAACUGCGUUAUUUUUAUUGUCCAUUGCGAAAAAAAAAAGAAGAAAUAUCUAUAUAUAUAUAUACACAUAUAUAUAUAUGGGUGUAUCGAGACUAGAUGGUCAGGUUGGAUAACUAAGGUGCACUAAACUUGGGGGAGCAGGCACGGCAUGUCACCCCAGGUGUGUGAAAAUUAUUUGAUAUAUAUAUGUAUAUAUAUAUAUUCCAUCCACCAUCCCUCCUUCACGGAGAACUGCGUUAUUUUUAUUGUCCAUUGCGAAAAAAAACACAAAAAAGAAAAAAUAUCUAUAUAUAUAUAUACACAUAUGUAUAUGGGUGUAUCGAGACUAGAUGGUCAGGUUGGAUAACUAAGGUGCACUAAACUUGGGGGAGCAGGCAUGGCAUGUCACCCCAGGUGUGUGAAAAUUAUUUUAUAUAUAUGUAUAUAUAUAUUCCAUCCACCAUCCCUCCUUCACGGAGAACUGCGUUAUUUUUAUUGUCCAUUGCGAAAAAAAACACAAAAAAGAAAAAAUAUCUAUAUAUAUAUAUACACAUAUGUAUAUGGGUGUAUCGAGACUAGAUGGUCAGGUUGGAUAACUAAGGUGCACUAAAAUUGGGGGAGCAGGCAAGGCAUGUCACCCCAGGUGUGUGACAAUUAUUUUAUAUAUAUGUAUAUAUAUAUUCCAUCCACCAUCCCUCCUUCACGGAGAACUGCGUUAUUUUUAUUGUCCAUUGCGAAAAAAAACACAAAAAAGAAAAAAUAUCUAUAUAUAUAUACACAUAUGUAUAUGGGUGUAUCGAGACUAGAUGGUCAGGUUGGAUAACUAAGGUGCACUAAAAUUGGGGGAGCAGGCAAGGCAUGUCACCCCAGGUGUGUGACAAUUAUUUUAUAUAUAUGUAUAUAUAUAUUCCAUCCACCAUCCCUCCUUCACGGAGAACUGCGUUAUUUUUAUUGUCCAUUGCGAAAAAAAACACAAAAAAAGAAGAAAUAUCUAUAUAUAUAUAUAUAUAUAUAUAUAUAUACACAUAUAUAUAUGGGUGUAUCGAGACUAGAUGGUCAGGUUGGAUAACUAAGGUGCACUAAACUUGGGGGAGCAGGCAUGGCAUGUCACCCCAGGUGUGUGACAAAUAUUUUAUAUAUAUGUAUAUAUAUAUUCCAUCCACCAUCCCUCCUUCACGGAGAACUGCGUUAUUUUUAUUGUCCAUUGCGGAAAAAAAACACAAAAAAAGAAGAAAUAUCUAUAUAUAUAUAUAUAUAUAUAUAUAUAUAUAUAUAUAUAUAUAUAUACACAUAUAUAUAUCGGUGUAUCGAGACUAGAUGGUCAGUAUGGAUAACUAAGGUGCACUAAAAUUGGGGGAGCAGGCAAGGCAUGUCACCCCAGGUGUGUGACAAAUAUUUUAUAUAUAUGUAUAUAUAUUCCCUCCACCACCCCUCCUUUAAGGAGGACUGCUUAAUUUUAAAUGUCCAUUGCGAAAAAAAAAACAAAAAAAAAAUCUAUAUAUAUACAUAUAAAUGGGUGUAUCGAGACUAGAUGGUCAGGUUGGAUAACUAAGGUGCACUAAACUUGGGGGAGCAGGCACGGCAUGUCACCCCAGGUGUGUGAAAAUUAUUUGAUAUAUAUAUGUAUAUAUAUAUAUUCCAUCCACCAUCCCUCCUUCACGGAGAACUGCGUUAUUUUUAUUGUCCAUUGCAAAAAAAAACACAAAAAAAAGAAGAAAUAUCUAUAUAUAUAUAUAUAUAUAUAUAUAUAUACACAUAUAUAUAUGGGUGUAUCGAGACUAGAUGGUCAGGUUGGAUAACUAAGGUGCACUAAAAUUGGGGGAGCAGGCAAGGCAUGUCACCCCAGGUGUGUGACAAUUAUUUUAUAUAUAUGUAUAUAUAUAUUCCAUCCACCAUCCCUCCUUCACGGAGAACUGCGUUAUUUUUAUUGUCCAUUGCGAAAAAAAACACAAAAAAGAAAAAAUAUCUAUAUAUAUAUACACAUAUGUAUAUGGGUGUAUCGAGACUAGAUGGUCAGGUUGGAUAACUAAGGUGCACUAAAAUUGGGGGAGCAGGCAAGGCAUGUCACCCCAGGUGUGUGACAAUUAUUUUAUAUAUAUGUAUAUAUAUAUUCCAUCCACCAUCCCUCCUUCACGGAGAACUGCGUUAUUUUUAUUGUCCAUUGCAAAAAAAAACACAAAAAAAAGAAGAAAUAUCUAUAUAUAUAUAUAUAUAUAUAUAUAUAUAUAUAUAUAUAUAUACACAUAUAUAUAUGGGUGUAUCGAGACUAGAUGGUCAGGUUGGAUAACUAAGGUGCACUAAAAUUGGGGCAGCAGGCAAGGCAUGUCACCCCAGGUGUGUGACAAUUACUUUAUAUAUAUGUAUAUAUAUAGUCCAUCCACCAUCCCUCCUUUACGGAGAACUGCGUUAUUUUUAUUGUCCAUUGCGAAAAAA